UACGUAGGGUGCGAGCGUUAAUCGGAAUUACUGGGCGUAAAGCGUGCGCAGGCGGUUUUGUAAGCCAGAUGUGAAAGCCCCGGGCUUAACCUGGGAAUGGCAUUUGGGACUGCAAGGCUUGAAUCCGGGAGAGGGAUGCGGAAUUCCAGGUGUAGCGGUGAAAUGCGUAGAUAUCUGGAGGAACACCGGUGGCGAAGGCGGCAUCCUGGACCGGCAUUGACGCUGAGGCGCGAAAGCUAGGGGAGCAAACGGG
rnacentral:rRNA from 1 species